rnacentral:rRNA from 1 species
UAACCUGCCCUUUGGAGGGGGAUAACGUUCCGAAAGGAGCGCUAAUACCGCAUACAGCAAGAGUCGGUUCGCCGAUUUUUGGCAAAGGUAGGGACCCGCAAGGGCCUACCGCCAGAGGAGGGGUCUGCGGCCCAUCAGCUAGUUGGUGAGGUAAUGGCUCACCAAGGCAGAGACGGGUAGCUGGUCUGAGAGGAUGGCCAGCCACAUUGGGACUGAGAGACGGCCCAG